UACAUGGGGUGCAAACGUUGCUCGGAAUCAUUGGGCGUAAAGCGCACGUAGGCGGUUCGUUAUGUCGGAUGUGAAAGCCCUUGGCUUAACCGAGGAAGUGCAUCCGAAACUGGCGAGCUAGAGUACGAAAGAGGAUCGCGGAAUUCCCGGUGUAGAGGUGAAAUUCGUAGAUAUCGGGAGGAACACCGGUGGCGAAGGCGGCGAUCUGGGUCGAUACUGACGCUGAGGAGCGAAAGCGUGGGGAGCGAACAGG
rnacentral:rRNA from 1 species